CAUGUAUGGAUGUCACAAGGUUAAUGGCCUGUCUUCACUAUUUUAAUUCCUCGCGCUUGUAUGAAAUCACCAAAUAGUGACAGAAGGAAUAUAUGAAAACGCAUCUUGGUGCUGAAGGGAUUAAACGUGUCGCGUAACUAUAGAACUGUUAUAUUUGAGGCUAUAAUGUUUCAGGUUAGUCAUUGUGGUUCCCUCGUUAUAGAAUAGGUACCAGAAUCGGCGAAAAGAAUGAGUGGACAGGAUUUCUUCACGUAACGAGGCUGGUGUUUCAAGGUACGUGCAUUAGAGGCACGUGUUAGUAUAACGGUAAGUGGGGAUAUAACCAUGAAAUUAGUUCUUGAAAGUGGUAGGCAGGCCUAAAUCGUUAAGAGGUUCACGAGUGACGGUGGGGGUUUUUGUGAGUUUGUGAAGCUGUAUAAAAUCAUCAAAUAGUAACCAGAAUGAGUACGGGAAUGUGUAAUGGUACUGAAAGGGUUAAUCCCCACGUAAGUUUCUGAAUCUGUAUAAAAUUGCCAAGUAGUAACCAUAUAGCAUGAAUAUCGUAAUGUCACGGUACUGAAAGGGUUAGCUAUCCAUUCACUCGUUUCAGGCAGCACUAGUUAGCCUCCUAGAGAGAGAGAGAGAGAGAGAGAGAAAUUAUCUAUCAUCAUUUACUAAGAAGGAAGCUUCAAAAUGUUACAACAAAAUAAUAAUAAAAAAAAAUCCUGUAUUAUUAUAAGUACUACAUGUAUUAUUAUAAGUACUACACGGAAGGUAAGAAUGAUUGAUAAAUAUAUGCAGUUGUGUGUGUUUAACGGUUGGUUUGGAAGGAGUUAAUAUUGAGUGUGGCUAGUUUAUAUCCAGAUGGUGGACCAGUGGUUAGAUUCACCGGCAGCGUUUCAUAUGUUCGUUUGCCCUCAAAUUGUUUUUCCCUUAUCGGCAGGUUGGGGAUGGGGGAGAACGAGAACGAAGCAAGGUCAUUAGCUCAAUGGCAGCUAGAUCAGUAUAACUCCAGACAUCACGCCACCACCGACCCCUCGAGUGUACGAGUGAUUGGGAGGAAUGAAAGUGAGCGUGAAUGGAGGCAAGAGGAGGCAGAGUGGAAACUGAAUGCAGUGUGAUAAGAGACAGAAGGGAUGAAUAAGUGGAGUGUGUGACCGAGUUAGGGCACUAUGAAGACGUGUAAGGAAUGGUGGUGGUGGUGGAGAAACUAAGUUGAGACGAGUGAAAGGGUUUCAGCCAGUUUUAGGACGGACAGAGGAGGGAAAUGGUGUUAGUGAGUUAGGGCUUAUUAUGGAUGAAAUGAAGACGUGAAGGGAAAGUGUGGUGUUGAAAAUGUGUAGAGACGAGUGAAAGGCAGUGAAGGUGUGUUUAGGGCAAUGUUGCGUUAGAUGUAGGGAUAAUUAGUAAACAAGGUAUUGCUGUUUUGUUAAUUUUGUCCAUUACAGGAGUUGACUAUCCGAAGGCCUGACUCGCAGCGGCAAUGAGCCUCGUGUACCUUGCAUUACCUACGCCACCGCCGCAAGAUGAGGGAAGAAGAGCUGUUUGGUAACCAUAUUUAGGGCCCAUAUCACCCCCGAAGCUCAUCAUGGGUGUAACCACCUAGAACCUGGGUAUCAUGGUGACACGUAGGAGUUGGUGAUCCAAAAGCCGCCCCACAGCCGCUACUGCUACUCGGAGGGUUUCUGCCUUGCAUCGGGCCUUCACUGCCGGCCCGCUAACACGUGCCGCCGUCGCCGCUACUGACAGGGAUUUCGCCUCGCUGCGGCCUGGCAAACACCUUCUACGUCGCCGCUAUUGACACUGAGGGACUUCGCCUCGCAGCGGCCUGGCAAACACCUGCUACAUCACCACUACCGCUGCCGCCGCCGUCCAGUGAGAGAUUCAUCUCUGACAUCCUGCCAUUCAACGCCUGCUGCCACCACCACCACCUCCUUAUGGUUCUGUCACUGUACUGAAGCUGUUGUCAUGAUUGAAUAAUAAAUUGUGAAGAAAU